rnacentral:rRNA from 1 species
GAUCCUGGCUCAGUAACGCUAGCCGGCAGGCCUAACACAUGCAAGUCGAGGGGUAGGAGUGCUUCGGCACUUGAGACCGGCGNACGGGUGCGUAACACGUGUACAAUCUACCUUUUACUAAGGGAUAGCCCGAAGAAAUUUGGAUUAAUACCUUAUAGUAUUAUUUUAUGGCAUCAUUAAAUAAUUAAAGCUACGGUGGCAAAAGAUGAGUACGCGUCCCAUUAGCUAGUUGGUGUGGUAACGGCAUACCAGGGCUACAUGGGUAGGGGUCCUGAGAGGGAGGUCCCCCCACACGGGUACUGAGACACGGACCAGACUCCUACGGGAGGCAGCCAGUGAGGAAUAUUGGACCAAUGGUCGGAAGACUGAUCCCAGCCAUGCCCGCGUGCAGGAUGACCGGCCUUAUGGGGUUGUAAACUGCUUUUAUACAGGAAGAAUAAGGUCUACGAGUAGAUUGAUGACGGUACUGUAUGAAUAAGCAUCGGCUAACUCCGUGCCAGCAGCCGCGGUAAUACGGAGGAUGCGAGCGUUAUCCGGAAUCAUUGGGUUUAAAGGGUCCGUAGGCGGGCUUAUAAGUCAGAGGUGAAAGCACUGAGCUCAACUGAGUAACUGCCUUUGAAACUGUAGGUCUUGAAUGUUUGUGAAGUAGGCUGGCAAUAGUGUAGCGGUGAAAUGCAUAGAUAUUACACAGAACACCGAUUGCGAAGGCAUGUUACUAACAAAUUAUUGACGCUGAUGGACGAAAGCCGUGGGGAGCGAACAGGAUUAGAUACCCUGGUAGUUCCACCUUAAACGAUGGAUACUAGCUGUUUGGUUUUCGGACUGAGUGGCUAACGAAAGUGAUAAGUAUCCCCCUGGGGAGUACGCACGCAAGUGUGAAACUCAAAGGAAUUGACGGGGGCCCGCACAAGCGGUGGAGCAUGUGGUUUAAUUCGAUGAUACGCGAUGGAACCUUACCAAGGCUUUAA